GACGAACGCUGGCGGCGUGCUUAACACAUGCCAGUCGAACGAAGAGCGAUGGAAGCUUGCUUCUAUCAAUCUUAGUGGCGAACGGGUGAGUAACGCGUAAUCAACCUGCCCUUCAGAGGGGGACAACAGUUGGAAACGACUGCUAAUACCGCAUACGAUCUAAUCUCGGCAUCGAGGAUAGAUGAAAGGUGGCCUCUACAUGUAAGCUAUCACUGAAGGAGGGGAUUGCGUCUGAUUAGCUAGUUGGAGGGGUAACGGCCCACCAAGGCGAUGAUCAGUAGCCCGUUCUAGGGGAUGAACCGGCAACAUUGGAACUAGACACGGCCCAGACUCCUACGGGAGGCAGCAGUGGGGAAUCUUCCGCAAUGGACGAAAGUCUGACGGAGCAACGCCGCGUGAGUGAUGACGGCCUUCGGGUUGUAAAGCUCUGUUAAUCGGGACGAAAGGCCUUCUUGCGAAUAGUGAGAAGGAUUGACGGUACCGGAAUAGAAAGCCACGGCUAACUACGUG
rnacentral:rRNA from 1 species